rnacentral:tRNA from 1 species
GGGUCGCUAACUCAGCGAGACAGAGACCCGCCUUUUAAGCGGAGUGAUCCAGGUGCGAUUCCUGGGCGGCCCACCA